rnacentral:rRNA from 1 species
UACGUAGGGUGCAAGCGUUGUCCGGAAUUAUUGGGCGUAAAGAGCUCGUAGGCGGUUCGUCGCGUCGGCUGUGAAAACCUGAGGCUCAACCUCAGGCCUGCAGUCGAUACGGGCGGACUUGAGUACUGCAGGGGAGACUGGAAGUUCCUGGUGUAGCGGUGAAAUGCGCAGAUAUCAGGAGGAACACCGGUGGCGAAGGCGGGUCUCUGGGCCGGUACUGACGCUGAGGAGCGAAAGCGUGGGGAGCAAACAGG